rnacentral:rRNA from 1 species
AAAUUGAACGCUGGCGGAAUGCUUACCACUGCAAGUCGAACGGCAGCACGGACUUCGGUCUGGUGGCGAGUGGCGAACGGGUGAGUAAUACAUCGGAACGUGCCCAGUCGUGGGGGAUAACGUAGCGAAAGCUACGCUAAUACCGCAUACGAUCUAAGUGAUGAAAGCGGGGGAUCGCAAGACCUCGCGCGAUUGGAGCGGCCGAUGGCAGAUUAGGUAGUUGGUAGGGUAAAGGCCUACCAAGCCGACGAUCUGUAGCUGGUCUGAGAGGACGACCAGCCACACUGGGACUGAGACACGGCCCAGACUCCUACGGGAGGCAGCAGUGGGGAAUUUUGGACAAUGGGCGAAAGCCUGAUCCAGCCAUUCCGCGUGCAGGAUGAAGGCCCUCGGGUUGUAAACUGCUUUUUGUACGGAACGAAAAGGUCCUGGUUAAUACCUGGGGCUCAUGACGGUACCGUAAGAAUAAGCACCGGCUAACUACGUGCCAGCAGCCGCGGUAAUACGUAGGUGCAAGCGUUAAUCGGAAUUACUGGGCGUAAAGCGUGCGCAGGCGGUGAUGUAAGACAGAGGU